GAUGAACGCUAGCGACAGGCUUAACACAUGCAAGUCGAGGGGCAGCACAGGUAGCAAUACCGGGUGGCGACCGGCGCACGGGUGAGUAACGCGUAUGCAACUUACCUAUCAGAGCGGGACAACCCGGCCAAAAUCGGAAUAAUACCUCAUGAAGCAGGGGUCCCGCAUGGGUAUAGUUGCUAAAGAUUCAUCGCUGAGAGAUAGGCAUGCGUUCAUUAGGCAGUCGGCGGUGUAACGGCCCACCAAACCGUCGAUGGAUAGGGGUUCCGAGAGGAAGGUCCCCCACAUUGGUAAUGAGACACGGACCAAACUCCUACGGGAGGCAGCAGUGAGGAAUAUUGGUUAAUGGGCGUAAGCCUGAACCAGCCAAGUCGCGUGAGGGAUGAAGGUUCUAUGGAUCGUAAACCUCUUUUAUAAGGAAAUAAAGUGCGGGACGUGUCCUGUUUUGUAUGUACCUUAUGAAUAAGGAUCGGCUAACUCCGUGCCAGCAGCCGCCGUAA
rnacentral:rRNA from 1 species